UACGUAGGGUGCAAGCGUUGUCCGGAAUUAUUGGGCGUAAAGAGCUCGUAGGCGGUCUGUCGCGUCGGCUGUGAAAACCCGGGGCUCAACCCCGGGCCUGCAGUCGAUACGGGCAGACUAGAGUGCGGUAGGGGAGACUGGAAUUCCUGGUGUAGCGGUGAAAUGCGCAGAUAUCAGGAGGAACACCGGUGGCGAAGGCGGGUCUCUGGGCCGUAACUGACACUGAGGAGCGAAAGCGUGGGGAGCAAACAGG
rnacentral:rRNA from 1 species